AGGGAAAAACUGGGCAGUAGUAUUUGCUAUCUUCAUAUCCUAACAUUAGGCACUUAAUCAAUAAUUACGUAAAGGUUGCUUCUAGUUGUGCUAAAACGUUCGAAUCACAAGUACGCAUUACAAACAAUCAAAUAGUUUUCACACCUACCGGUAAGUUCAAACCAACCGGAGUUUUAUUUGCAUGAAACUAGUGAAUCGCAGUUGGAUAUAUAGACAUAUAGACUUGGAAAUGCGCCAUCGAAAGUUGUUUAGUCCAAACAAAUAUUACAUACCGUGAAACCUUCAUGAGUCGAUGUUCCAUGACUGAUAUCGAUUCAUGGAACCAUAGUGGAACUAUGUUGCCCCUCAAGGGAUUUGUUUCACCACUCGAUGUUUCCAGGAGUUGAUGGUCCCUUCAGAUAUCGACUCAUGGAGGUUUGACUGUAGAUAUAUUCAACCUUUUUUCAGUGAGUCAAACUCUAAAUUUUUAUAGACGUAUCUAUUUUUUUAAAUUGGUAUUUGAUAUGAUAGCAUAUGAAUAAGUCUUUAGCUGCACAAAUUCUAAAAUAAUUUACUCAUAUAUGAAAUUAAGAAUAUUCUUUCCUUCCUAUAUGGAACAUAUGUUGUGAAUAAUAAUUCAUUAAUUAUUCAAUCAAAUUAAAACACUUUGAUUUACUUCACGGUUUAGGGAUAAUUUUAUUGAACAUAAUCUCAUCAGGUCAUUAUCAGUAAGUAUUCUACUCUAUCGAUACAUUAUAAUAUUUACAUGCGUAUUUCUUGUUUCACGUUCGCAUCCUAUUGCACACAUUUAUAUUGACUACAGCACACGUCUAUCUUUCAUCUAAUGGCUGCCUAAAUAAUGCAAAGCUCCAAGUUCCCCUUGAAAGCUUUUCAUGCAAUAUUGAACGCAAUACGAUAAACAACUUUAUUGGAUACAAUUUCCUAAUCUGUAUCAUGAAUCUGUAAAGCGUCCCUGUUGAUGGUUCUGGGACAAUUAUUCAUAAAUUUAUUGGCAUUUUAAUAGUAACAUAUUAGGGGAAAUGAUUUUUAUAUUCUUCCGGAAUUUCCUGGUAAUGUUUCUUUGGUGAUAUAUUUGAUAAAAUCUGCGUUUAUUAUACUCCUAGAAUUUCUUAGGGUUCUGGGAAGCACCCACAGAAUAAUAGCCGAUUUUUUUAUUUUCUAUUUUUUUAUAAAUUCUCAAAUACAUUACAAAUAAAUUAUUUAACUCAGUGGUGCUCAAGCUGGAGCACGUUGCGGGCCAAAUCAUGUUUUUUCAUCAGCGCAGCGGGCCGCAUUGGGAUAUUUUAAUCUGAGGGGUGCGGUCUCCAACAUUUUGGUCAUUCAAUUUGAACACAAAUUUUUCUACCAGUGCUAACCGUUGUUUAUUUGCUCGUCUCGCAGGAAACCAUUUGCCAAGAUGCCGCUUAAAAUACUACACACAAAGCUUUUGCAGUUUGAUGCAGGCAAUAAGCUCAAUAAAUCAGCUGAAUUAGAUAGUUCCUGAAUUUCCAAGUUCUGAAAAACUUACGCAUCAAUAAUACCAAGUAAACGUUUUUCCAACAAUUGAUAGCUUUUGUGUCACAUCAAAUGUAGCACGAUCGAUUUCUUUCUAAAGAUUUUCUCUUCUGUGAAUAAAGGAGAGAAGAUUCAAAUUUUUCGGCAUGUUUCCAUCUCAGGACGUAAGAUUACUUCGCUGACUAGCGUGAAAAAGGGUAAAGAAACUUGUUACUUUUAUUCGCAGAAGAGAAGAUCGAUGCAAAGAAACCGAUUAUGUUACAUUUGGCUUCAUUCAUGCACACG
rnacentral:lncRNA from 1 species